rnacentral:tRNA from 1 species
GGUGUUGAUAUGAGUUUGUGUUUCGACCACAAAUAAGGUUAGAUCCCAGCAUCU